UCGUACCUAUAAAACGUAUUUUCCUUCAAGUGUAUAUUUUGUGAUUUAUUCCAUACACAUUGCUGUUGCCAGCUUUUAAAGUAAAGGAUAUAAACGAUUGAAGAUUCUAUUUUCUAAGCAGCACUGUGAAUGAAUAAUGAAUAUAUCUAGAUGGAUGGAGUUUGCAGCAUGAAGUGCAAUACUGGAUUUCAGUGGCAGGAAUCAGGUGAUCAACACAAGCUAACCUUCAAAAACGCAAAACGUAAUGAAAAGCCGAUAGCACAUAAUCGAGGUCGAACUUAAAACAAUGGAUGAAUAAUGAUACUUGAUUUAUACAUAUUUUGAAAGAAUGAAGAAGUAAAUUAUAGGUAUUUUUAAUUUAUCAAUAAAAUUGAUUAUUAUUAAUCAUUAUAAUGCAUGAACUUGUAAGUUCAGACAUAAAGAUUUAUUAUUGUGACAGCAGUUGGAGACGGAAAUAACCGCCGGGUUCGAAUGUUAUCGCUAUGAGUGUGGCGACAAUGCAAGCGUCAACACGCAACUGUAGGUACUAAAUAUAAACAAAAGUGCAUUCAGUGAUAUUUGACAUAAUAUUAAAUUAUUCACGCAGAAGUUCGACGCUUACGUUAUAUUAUUGAGUUGAAAAUAUUGAUGAAUAUUAUUUGAAUUUUGGAAUUGUUGCUGUCUGUUUAGAAGGUUAUUGCGUUUUAUGUGGAGUAAUUAAUAUGUUGGAAAUGGAUUCGGAAAGACAGCCGUUGCUAGCAAAUCAAAGAUUUAAACAUUUCAGGCCCCUCAGUCGCGAAGAAGUCAUGAAAUCCCGUGGUCAGUUACAGUGGACAAGUGCACGGGUGUUUGUGAUUCUAAUGUUCUGGAUAGCAAUGGCCAUUUGCCUGUCGCUUGCAGUGGAAAUAAUAAUGUCAUCAAAGUGUGCCCCAGUUUUGAACAAGUUGCCGUCGGUGCCUCCCGUGCAUAUAGCCUUCACACCCCUCCUAUCUCGCUACGAGAACGCUUAAUAUUUUCGAGAUGAGCAGUGAGAAAUAUAAUUUUUAUUGGCUCUCUGACAAAUAUUUCGAAGACAAUAAAUAACUUUUAAUUAUCAUAAAAUAAGUUUUCGUGUAUAUUUUCUAAGCUAAUUACGAUAUUAUUGCGUCUUUUACGUCUGCCAUUUUGUUCAGUUAUAUUUCCAUAUCGCUUUGCAUUUUAUAAUAUUAUGAUAACUGACUGAUAUUUAUGUAUGUUAAUAGGUUAUUUCCUUGGAUAGUUUAUACGUGCAGAAUCUAGACGUAUAAUGCAAGAGGCUCUAUCUAGAGUCUAGAUAGAGCCUCUUUCUGCUAGACAACCGAUGAAAACAGGCCAGGUUUAUUACUUUAGUUUUUUUCCGUGCUCAAAGUAGAGGUUAACUGUCAACCUCAACUUUUUUCGUUGUUUUCACAGCUGUCACAGUAAAUCUACAUACCAUAUUAGUUCUUGUAUAGUCAAAUCAGCUUAAUUUUUGUAACUACUCUACGGCUGCAUUUAGUGCUCGACCGACAGUGCUCACAUCGGUCGAGCGUAGCUCGUGCGACACGCGCAGACCAUGUUACGUUUAGUGCUCGGCUGACAGCAAACUUGAUGGCGCGUGUAGAAUUGCGAAGAAAAAUGAAUCUAUUUUACACCUCUUUAAUAUGUGCGUACUACUUACGCAAACAAUUACGGAAUGAAAGACGGAGAAGAUAUCAUGUUUACCCUAUUAUUAAGGAGCGUCAGAUUGAUGGACAAAUUAUUUAUACAUUAUAUUCGAAAUUGUCAGAACACGAAUUUAUCUUUACGAUUUUUGUUAUGAUGUUACACUCGCGCGUACGGUCGGUCGCUCGGUCAGCACUUAUUUAGUUAUUUAUCGCCGAACUCCAUAGCGAGUCAGCGGACCGAAGAGCUCAACCGACGUUUCUCGUUAGCGGACGUAGCUUUACACGCGUAGAAAUUCAUCAGCGCUGGACUGAACGCGUUCAUAAUAAUAUGUUUUUAUAGUUAUAGCUACGCUCGACCGACGUCGGUCGGUUUAAGCACUAAAUGCAUCGUAAAGAACAGAUUUUGAAAAUAUUUAGAUUUUUUUUUUUUAAAUCAUAAUAAUAUUUCAUUUGAAAAUUAUGUUACUAAUUAUUACGACAAAUGAAAUCCUAUAUUUUUCUAGUCUGAUAAGUAUGACAUUGGAUAAUCAAUAAAUGAAAUAAUUUACCUACUUGAGGAAAUUCAAAUAAAAUACACACACACCUACAUUAGGUUUUUAGUAAAGUUGUGAUUUUUAUUAGAUAUGAUUUAUAUAACUUAUGGUUCCGUGACCUUUGCAGGCUCAUGUUUUUAGUGAGACUGCAAAAAAGGUAAAAAGCACCUACAGCUAAAUUUUUUUUAUUUAAACAAAUGUUCAACACUCGAGUUGAUCAAAGGAAAUAACUACUUGAAUAAAUUAAAUUCCUCGUCGUAGUGCGUAUCAAGUUAUUUAUUUAUUUAUUUAUUUUGAUUAAAACGGUUACAACACCAAUUACAAUAAUCAAGUUUAUUAAACUAUAAUUGUUAGACGCUAUUAUGCGAGGACGCACUAAGUUGGAGCAGCAACUGCACCAACACUUCAGUCUAUUAGUAAAUAGAUCACAAUCAAUGCUUGAGCAUAACUUGAAAAUGUCAUGAAAAGGUUCUAUAUGUAUUUUUUUAAUCCAAUCUGAACCAAUAAUAUGGAUAGAAGGAGAAUAUUAACAAAUAAUUUCUUAAUUAAGUUCUUAAUAUCUUGAGUUCAUCAACCUUCUGGAAACAGAAACGCGAAGAACUUGAUAGUGCCGUGACAUGAAAUUAGAUACGAUAAAACUUAAAGUGUAUUAUGUUAUAGUUUAUAAUAAAAUCCCAAACGUUAUUAAAAAAUUACCAGUUAAAAAAAAUGUAUCGUAAAAAAAAAAUUAACAUCCAACUAUUAUAAUGUGAAAGAUUAUUUGAAUGAUAAAGAUAGUUGGGAUAAAUUUUUCUAAAUGAAUGUUAAUGAAUAUUGUUGCUUUACUCAAUUGAAUGCUAUUGUAACUUUUGUUCCUCAUCGUGACUUGCACUAAAUAAUUUAUAAAGUUUUACAGUCAAAAUUAGUUUUUAUUAUAAGAAAAUUGAAUUAUUGUACUUUUUAAAAUGUAAAUAGUAGGUUAGUAAUAAUUGUUAUCUUUAUAUCAUAUAUCGUUAUGUAUCUAGUUGGUAAGCCUAAAUAUAUAAAUAAAUAUUCUGCGGGAUCCUGGUGUUGCGAUCAUUUUGAGAGUACAUAGAUUUUAAUGAGUUUUGUUGAUUUUGUGAUAGUGGCAUUUGAGAUCUGAAAGGAAUCGGUAGGAGCUGCCCAAUUACACUCCAAAUUUUCAUUUAAUUCUUCAUCAUCAACCGGAAGACGUCCACUGCUGGACAAAGGCCCCAAAGAUCUCCACGACGAUAGGUCCUGCGCUGCCCUCAUCCAACGUAUUCCGGCGAUCUUGACCAGAUCGCCGGUCCAUCUUGUGGGGGGGUUUCCAACCUUUUUAAUUCUAGGCAAUAUCAUUAUAAACUAUUUUUUAAAGAGUUUUUAUUAGUUGUUUUUAUUUAUUAUUGUAUACCUAAGUGCUAACCCGGCACACGAUGUUUUGCCAUAUUAAUUAAUUACCCCACGCUUGCUUAUUUUAUGAAUUGUUAUAUGGAAUAAAAUGUAAUUGAUUCAAU